GCGACCUGGGGCGCGCUGGGCCUCGCAGAGCAGCCGCGGACCCCGGCGAUCGUGCCGUGUUCGUCUCCUUUGUGUUUCUUUAUUGAGUCCCUACUACCUCUACGGAUAUUCUGGGGGCAAUUAAAGAAAAUCACCGCUUCAUAGGCAGCACAUAUUUCCCAUAGAAAUGUGGAAUGUAAGAAAGGCACAUAAAGCAAUCCAAGUUGCCUGCAGAUAUCCACAGCCUACUUCAGUCUCAGUAAUGCUCUUUUAACCUGGUGCAUCAGUUUAAGGGAAGACAUGAGAUCAUGGGUUUAAGUGAGGCUUCAUCAUGCCAAGACAACGUGAUCAGUUAUUCCCAACCUAUAUAACUCACAUACACUGGAGGAAAUAUCUUCAUGGAAUUAAAACCACAUGGAGUAACAUUUCACGUAAGCAGAAUUCAGGAAUGAUUUCAGUAAUUCCAUCCCAAACACACACAGGCAAAGGGAGUGAAGAUUUCUUCAGCAACAUGGUGGCAGAAAGAUCAUGAAAAGAUCUAGGCCAGUCCAAGCUCACUGCAGUUAAAUCUUCAGUCUCCAGCACUGCACUUGGGAAAGCGUCAAGGAGUUGAAUGUAUAUGUAAUUGGAGUGCCAGAAGAAGAGAACUGAGAGAGAGGGGCAGAACAGCUCAUGAGGGGGAAAACCCACUACAUACAAACAAGAAUACUGCAGACUCCUCAUCAGAAUCUAUGCUACCUGUAAAGGCUUGUAAAAGCACAGAGCUGCUCUCACCAUGCAGCCAAAGAAGAAAUGAGGAUAUCGGUCCUAUAACUGCAAGGAACUGAAUGCUGCCAACCACCUGAACGGACUUGGGCUACUGAGAAGAAGCUAUUCUAGCAAAGCUGGAGGAAUUCCACCAGACUGACAGAACAACACAAAUAAGUCCAUGCCUGACGCACAGCAGGGGCUCAAGGCAAGUUUGUGGACUCGAAGCCCUGUUAGAAUGGAUGGAAUUUGGUCUUAUGAAGCAGAUAGAAGAACAGGAGCUUGACUGUAAAGAUUUGUCUCCACCUCUUAAUAAAGCAUAUCAUCUCCAA
rnacentral:lncRNA from 10 species